rnacentral:rRNA from 1 species
CCUACGGGUGGCAGCAGUGAGGAAUAUUGGUCAAUGGGCGGAAGCCUGAACCAGCCAAGUAGCGUGCAGGAUGACGGCCCUACGGGUUGUAAACUGCUUUUAUACGGGAAUAACGCGCCUUACGUGUGGGGCUUUUCAUGUACCGUAUGAAUAAGCAUCGGCUAAUUCCGUGCCAGCAGCCGCGGUAAUACGGAAGGUCCGGGCGUUAUCCGGAUUUAUUGGGUUUAAAGGGAGCGUAGGCCGGAUGGUAAGUGCGAUGUGAAAUGUUCGGGCUCAAACCGUGCCGUGCGGUGCAAACUGGCGUGCUUGAGUCUGCGGAGGGCAGGCGGAAUUCGUGGUGUAGCGGUGAAAUGCUUAGAUAUGACGAAGAACCCCGAUUGCGAAGGCAGCUUGCUGGAGCGGAACUGACGCUGAGGCUCGAAAGCGCGGGUAUCGAACAGGAUGAGAUACCCGAGUAGUC